CUGCAGUGAGUAAUAAAAGACAAAUGAGUAGAGGUACACUGCAAACAGCAUCUUACAAAGAAAUUCUCUACUUUGAAACACCACCAACUCAUAUACAGACAUAAAAGACCACAAAAAGAAAAAGCUUUAGCCUGGAACAAACAGCAAAAGAAACAAAGAGAGGAGGAAGGAAAUCCCUCAGAGAGACCUAGACCACCAGCACAGAGACAGAGAUCACUGUCGCAGUCCUUUCAAAUAGGCAAAGAAUAACCACAUAUCGCUUAUAUACGAUUUACCCUGGACCUGCCCUUGUAACUCUGAGAGUCCCGCGAGUGAGGAGUGGCGUGAGUGUGAGUGGCUGCAAAGGAAAGUGGAGAGGAAUUCCGAGAAGAGAGGAGUGUGUGUGUGGACCCCCUUCCUGUGCCUGAGUCCAUUUAAGAACUCUGACAUAAACAGUACAUCGUACUUGGCUCUAAAUUAGUUUUCAAAACGUUUAUUGCUUAAAAAUGCUCAAAACAGUGUCAGGGAUAUAUCAUUUUGCAGAGUUAACACAUUACAGUCUACAUUUUAAAUAUUUAAAUCAGUUUACAGCUCACUGAUAAAAGUCAAAUCUAAUUACUAUUUACUAUUCAGAUGGAAAAUAAAUGAAAAAAGAAGUGUCAUUAUUUCAUUUUAAACUUUUGAAUGAGAUAUUGUUGGAUUUAGGCCCCAGAGGUAAUGAUGGCAGAACAGGUGCAAGUCUGAACUAUAGCUUUGCUCUCCGUGUAUCCUGGUGGAUUUCCACUGUACCAAAAUGUAUCUUCAUCCUGUGAAGGGACAUUUGUUCUUCACAAUCAUGAUCAUUUUGACUUCCUGUAAGUCUUUAUCGGGACUGUAAGUCUUUUCUGUAUGUCUAUCCUUUUGAUCCCGGUUGUUUUCUACGUUGCCUAAUUAUAUUUACCACUUACCCCUACCCUCUGGGUCGUAACACUUAGUUAGGGUGAGUCAUAAUUUUAAUAGUGCUUCCCACUGUGCUGCAUCCUCAGCUUAUCAUCGUGUUUUGUACCUGAAUCCCUAAUAGGACCAGUGGAUGCAUUUCUUUGUUAAAUUGAUUUACAUUUUUCUGUAUAAUCAGUAAAGUUGCUUGUAACAGUUCUUGUACUCGACAUUUUCGACUGUUCGAUUUGUUUUUAAUGUAUUCAACAUUUUAGCAUUUACAGAUGUUUUAAAAUUAAAAUGGUGAUCCUGACUAUUACUAAUUGUAAAAAUCCACAUGUGGAAAACAAUUUCAGCUGAGUGCUUUGAUUCUUUGAUUCCUGUUCAUUUAUUGGUCAUACGGGUUUUCUGUUUUCAAAAAAUAAAGAGCAAAACAACAUAUAUAGAGAUCUUACUGACAGAUACAA